rnacentral:rRNA from 1 species
AAACCUCAUCUAUCAUAUACUGAAUAAAAUAGGUAUAUGAGGGAAACCGCCUGAACUGAAACAUCUAAGUAGGGCGAGGAAGAGAAAUCAACCGAGAUUUCCUAAGUAGUGGCGAGCGAACGGGAAAGAGGCCAAACCUGAGGAAGCAAUUCUUCAGGGGUUACGGACUGCAUUUAGUAUUGUUAGAAGAUAGCCGAACACUUUGGGAAAAGUGAUCAGAGAGCGUGAGAGUCGCGUAGGCGAAAUCUGAAAACAGCGAGCAGGAUCCAGAGUACCGCCGGACACGUGAAACCCGGUGGGAAGUCGGGGGGACCACCCUCCAAGCCUAAAUACUACCCAAUGACCGAUAGAGAAUAAGUACUGUGAAGGAAAGGUGAAAAGAACCCCGGGAGGGGAGUGAAAGAGAACCUGAAACCCUGUGCUUACAAGCACAUAGAGCACAUCAAAGUGUGAUAUGGUACCUUUUGUAGAAUGGUCCGGCGAGUUAUGGUAUGCAGCAAGGUUAAGCACUUAAGGUGUGGAGCCGAAGCGAGAGCAAGUCUUAAUAGGGCGACAAGUUGAAUGCCAUAGACCCGAAACCGGGUGACCUAGCCAUGUCCAGGCUGAAGUGGAGGUAAAGCUCCAUGGAGGGCCGAACCGACCCCCGUUGAAAAGGUGGCGGAUGAGGUGUGGCUAGCGGAGAAAUUCCAAUCGAACCCGGAUAUAGCUGGUUCUCCCCGAAAUAGCUUUAGGGCUAGCGUUGUAUAUGAUUACCGGAGGUAAAGCACUGAAUUGGCUAGGGGCCGAGAGGUUACUGAACCAUAUCAAACUAAGAAUGCCGGAUAAUAAAAGUACAGCAGUCAGACUACGUGAGAUAAGUCUCGUGGUCAAAAGGGAAACAGCCCAGACCCACAGCUAAGGUCCCGAAAUACGUUUAAGUGGAGAAGGAUGUGGAGUUGCAUAGACAACCAGGAUGUUGGCUUAGAAGCAGCCACUCAUUAAAAGAGUGCGUAAUAGCUCACUGGUCGAGUGACUCUGCGCCGAAAAUUCAACGGGGCUAAAACGUAUACCGAAGCUUGGGCUUGUACAGCAAUGUACAGGGGUAGGGGAGCGUUGUGUAAGAGGAGAAGUCAUAGCGGAAGCGGUGGUGGAUUUUACACAAGUGAGAAUGCCGGAAUGAGUAGCGAGAAUUAUGUGAGAAUCAUAAUGGCCGAAAGUCUAAGGUUUUAGAAGGAAGGUUCGUCCGCUUCUAGUAAGCCGG